CCCUUAGAUGUUCUGGGCCGCACGCGCGCUACACUGACAGAGCCAACGAGUUCUUUGCCUUGGCCGGAAGGUCUGGGUAAUCUUGUUAAACUCUGUCGUGCUGGGGAUAGAGCAUUGCAAUUAUCGCUCUUCAACGAGGAAUGCCUAGUAAGCGCGUGUCAUCAGCAUGCGUUGAUUACGUCCCUGCCCUUUGUACACACCGCCCGUCGCUACUACCGAUUGAAUGGCUCAGUGAGGCCUUCGGACUGGCUCGGGGAGGUUGGCAACGACCACCCCAAGCCGGAAAGUUCGUCAAACUCGGUCAUUUAGAGGAAGUAAAAGUCGUAACA
rnacentral:rRNA from 1 species